rnacentral:lncRNA from 10 species
GUGGAGCUCGGCGGUGUUGGCUGAGCAGGCUGCGGGGUCGGGAGAGGGGAGGCGCCUGGGCCGGCUCCAAUGUCUUCGCGUGCAUGGGGCCCGAGGAACGGGCUGCUCCCCUGUCGUGCAGGCUUCCUAGAAUCUCUGGCACCUCUGCGGGGAUGCGGUGGUGUGGGUGGCCGGCCCAGCGGCCAAGCCUCCCCUGCGCCUCGCGGUUGGGUGCGGGCUUCCCAGGGUAGGCUGCGGGAGCGGCUCCCAGCCUCACGGGAACCUCAACUCCCUGCGGCUCACCCCAGCCUGCGGUACAAGGCGUAGCAAAGAACCUCGAGAGUAGCUGUUGCUUCGUUCGUUUGAUACGUUGCAGAUUUUAGGAGCAUUAACGCCCAUCAUGUUUUCUAUCGCCCCAGGGAGAGGAAGCAGGUGUAGACAGCAGCAAGAGGGAGUUGUGAUGAGGGAAUUAUCUCUGUAGCGUAGAUGUGUGCUCACGUUCUCUGAGGAGUUUUGAAAUCAGUAUUGUUUCCGUUGCCCUGAAUGGUUACAAGGAGAGAACACUGGACUUGGAGUCAGAAAACUUUCAUCCAAGUCAUUCCCUGCUCUAAGUCCCAUUUCUGUUCCAUGAGAUUGUUUCCACCUCAGAUGAGAUUAGACUUAAGGUGGCAUUGGUAUUGUCUGUGGUAAAACAAGAUAUCUUCGAGGGCUCUUCAGUGACUUACAUCCAUACAUCCCUUUUAUGGGAUAGUGGCUUCUGAAAGCUUCCUUGGCAGUGGCAGAUAGAGCAUUGCACUUAUCUUCCCUAGUGUUCACCAAUAAGUUGACUUUGAUUUAUUACACAUAACUUCUUACUAGCCAGUCAGGUUCACAAAAUGAUGUGGAGUGAAUUUCUUUUUAUGUAAUAAAAAACGUUAUAUACCCAAACUGGUCCUUUAUAACUCCUGGAUCUUUCAAGUUGCUGUAUUCUCUGUUCUCUAAAUAAACUAGAGGAGACUGUUUUUGCCCAUCCCCAGGUUACCCAUGGAACUUUUGUGGCUAGUCUGUCUGGCCUUCAUCCCAGUUUUUACAGGUCCAUCUGCCUCCCUUCAUCCUCUCCUUUUUGCUUCUCAAAUGGGCUUCCCAUAAAUUGCAAAUAUUCUCCACUACUCUUCCUGUCAUUUAAUUUAAGUAUCUGGUUUCUUCUUCAUAGAUGCAUAGGAUGGUGUAGCCUAGUGAUUAAGAGUGCAGCUGGAGCCAAGCUGGCUGGGUUCCAUUCCCAGCUCUGCAGCUUUCUGUGUGGUCAUGGGCAACUCUGCAUGCCUCAUUCUCUCACAUAUAAGAUAAAAAUGUAAAAAGUAAUAGCAGGGCUGUAUUAAGAGAGUUGACAUAUAUAGCUUGCUAAGAAAGUACAUAGCAUGUAGUGUUAUAUAAGUGUUAGCUAUUCUUGAUAUUAUCGACAUGUCCAGGUCAGUGUUUUAGAUUAAGAACUCCUAGCAAGUAGGAGACCCAGGCCCCCAAGUGCAUUAUAUUCUAUUGUUAGGUACUAAUAAGUUAUUAAUAGAAUGGAGAAUCUUUGAACCUUAGAAUAUCAGUUUAAAUUCAUUUAUAUAGAGGAUCUCUGCCUCUUAACCCUUACUUUGUGGACAUAGAGACCCACUUAACUGAAGCUGUGAGUGGAAUUUUAAGAGUUUCUGCUUUAUGACCCAGAAAUGAAGUACAUACUAGACUUCUCUGUUGUCUUAUCAACUUUUUCCUGGCCAGGCUUGGUGGGCUCCUGCCUGUAAUCCCAGCACUUUGGGAGGCCGGGGCGGAAGAAUUGCUUGAGCCCAGAGACCAGCCUGAGCAACAUAGACCUCAUCUCUACAAAGAAUCUAAAAAGCAAUUAGCUGGGUGUGGUGGCGCCUGCCUAUAGUCUCUGCUACUCAGGAGGCUUGCCUGAUCCCAGGAAGCUGAGGCUGCUGUAAGCAGUGAUGCAUCACUGCACUCCAGCCUAGGCGAGUAAGCAAGUUCCCGUCUCAAAAAAAACAAAAAGCUUUUUUUUUUAAUGGUUGUGAAAUAGAGUAGUAAGAAUCCAACAUCCAGGCCAGGUGCGGUGGCUCACACCUGUAAUCCCAGCACUUUGGGAGGCCAAGACAGGUGGAUUGCUUGAGGACAGGAGUUUGAGACCAGCCUGGCCAACAUGGUGAAACCCUAUCUCUACUAAAAAUACAAAAAAUUAGCCGGGUGUGGUGGUAGGCAUCUGUAAUCCCAGCUACUUGGGAGGCUGAGGCAGGAGAAUUGCUUGAAUCUGGGAGGUGGAGGUUGCAGUGAGCUGAGAUUGCAGCACUGCACUCCAGCCUGGGCAACAGAGUGAGACUCCAUCUCCAAAAAAAAAACAGAGUCCAACAUCCAUAUCAAAUGACCUCUUCAAAGCUGUUACCUUAGUAGCAACCCUUAUUCCACACUGACAUUGCCAUUAUUCAGAGCACUUUUAAAACUCCCUUUUCAAAUUGUUUUCAGAUCUGCACAGGAAACUCCAACUUGUUUUACUAUAACCAACACUUUGGUUUUAUACCAGAAUAGUAUUGAUUCCCAUCUUAUUCUUCUUAGUUCUGAAUGACCUGGAUAUUUCUAAAAAUAACACCCACUCUCAAAAAAACUGGUAUUUGCCACCACUAAAUAUAGUCAAAAGAAUUUUGACAUAAGUAUUGAAUGCCAAGGUGUUUUUGAAAUCAGAAUAAAGCCUUCCUAAAGUGAUAGCUUUGAAAUAAUCUCAUUUACAGGUAUAAGUUUUGUCCUCUGGUUGUAAAGUUGUAUGGUUCAGUGAGAGGUAUAUUAUAAAUAAACUACCCUUCUGCAGAGGUACCAACUGCUGGUACAACUGGAGGAGAUUCUUUAGUAUCUCAACCUUGAUUCUCCUCUGGCCUGGCUUUGUUCCUGUUUCUAGAUGGAGCUCCAUUUAGCCACCCACUGGGCUUGCUUCAAAAGUGCUGUUUGUUAUCACAUGGCCAACUGGCCAGGGCCAGAACAGGUCCUUGGGUUUACUGCGUUGACCCCAGACUGUUUUAGCCACCAGAGCACUUGUUGAUACUUCAACAUUGGAAAGUGUUGGAAAGCAGCACUGAAACAACCCAGGAACGUUGUCGAGAAGGUAGGGAAGGAGAGAGGAAGGGGCUUCAAAAAUAGUAUGGUACUAAGAAAGCAAUGUGCAAAAUCACCUGUUUACACAAAUGCUUUCUGUGAUAAACAAAAAUGCAAUGACAUUUCCUGAAUAUGAACCUUAACAUUUAGUCAUCCAUUUGCCCUAGGAUGGAUUUGAAAAUGAGCAAUGCUUGAUCAGAUUGGCCUGAUGUUCUUGGGGGCAGGUGAUAAGACCCUUAGGGGUAUUGGAGGUUAGCUUUGACAACAUGGAGAUGAUCCAGCAGUCUCAGUGGUGCCAGCCAAGAAGCUUAAAAUAAACCUGCAUGUGGGUCUGAGAUGCCCUCACCCUGAUGGUUACUGAUUUACUGUGGCCUUUGCCAAAAUCAGCAGUCACAGGGGAAAGAGGCUGGUUUACCAUACUCCUCUAGCACCUGUUUCCCUACAGGUCUUGGCUAGGAAAUCAGCAAGAAAUUGCCAAGUAACUAAAGAAUGGCUACCUGUUUUAUUACCAUGUCAGUGUCGGGAGUUCCUUCUUUGAAAUUAAGUUGUUUGGAGUUAGCAGUGAGAUUGACGAAUCAUCUAUACAAAAGAAACAACACGUACUGUGGUUCAUCUCCUUUGGACCAGAGACUGUUCUAGAUGCUUUCACAUUUGUCUGAUUUUAUAUUUGGAAAGGAAUCCAUUCUCAUCAGAAUUCAUGAGACAAUAGAAUGUUCAAGGGGGGAAAAGCUUUAUUCUCUUACAAAAUGAGAGACCAAAGGCUCUUGGCUGGCAGGCAGUAAGUUUCUGUGUACUAAUUGAACAUGACAGAGAAUACAAAAAGUAGGUGUCUGGGGUUGCGUAAUGAUAGAAUUCAAGUGCUUUACCAAGAGUAUUGCAUACCUGUGGACCUGAGAUUGGCACAUACUUCAAAAAUUCCUGUUAGUUAGGCUAUCUUCAAAUACUAAAGGUGACAUGUAUGGGCAAGAGGGGAGAGAUGAAAGGGGAGGUAGGUGUUGGUGUUAGUAUCUGGCCAUCAGGCAAUUUGGCAAGAUUAAUUUUUUAUUCAGUAUAAUUCUGUAGGUGGAUUCCCCAAAGCACAGAGGGUAUGAGGUGGAGGACAGGCUUCCGGGGAACUGAGACAUUGGGGUGUGUCUAGAGCACUUCCUACAAUAGGUGCCAGUCAUGGCUGCCCCGAAGCAGGUCCUGCCAAUCUACAGACUUCAGUAGGAGUCCCCAAGCUGUGAACUCAAAAAUAGUAGUGGCUGAUUUGCAUACUUUUUAAAAGCUAUAAUUCUUUGCGUAUCUGAACUACUUAGAGUAUAAGUUUUUCAAGAACAGGGAACAUGUCUUUUUACCCACCAAUACAAACCCAUGGCCUGGCAUAUACUGAAAACUAACAGGUAGCAGAUGCUUCCUUUCUACCAUUCUCUAUUCUAAGUGCACUGACUCCUUAUGAGGCAGGCAUUUUUCUUAUAUCCAUUUCACAGGAGAGGAAACUGAAUCUCAAUGAGGGUAAUUUGCCCUAGGAUCACAUAAGUAAGAAGUUGUGGAGCCAUCUACUCCAGAGCUUGACACUAAGGCACUAUGUUAUAGUAUAGUGAUCACUACGUGUAAUAGGAGCUCAAUGAUGAAUAAAUGGACUUGUUUUAAAUGAAGGAAAAGAAAAUGACAUGUUUCAACGGGUGAAUGAAAAUACUUCAUGAAUGAAUAAAUGAAUAUGUCACCUUUUAUUAUGUUCCUUAGGUUUCAAAAGGGCUUAUGUCAGGAUUAGGAUUUAAUUAAUUCUAGCUUUGUGAAAACUAAAGAAAGUUUUACGUUUUCAUUAUGGGUUUGAGGGAAAACUGCAUCCUUAUAACUGGAGAAUUUACACCCAUGCUUAUUGUGUCUAUAACCAGCAGUAAAGUUUGCACAGCUAAGUGUAUCACCACUGAAUAGCCACUCUUGUUAGAGAGCUGCAGGGUUUGAAUAUAGUUUAUCAGGAGAACCAAUCAUACCUUAUAAAAGCAUAUUUUCCUUAGAAAACAGAUACUGUAUUUGUAGGUGAAUACCUACUGUAUUCAACUCACAUUCUAAUAUAACUAUAGUUGAUAAUAUGAUUUGAAGUGAACAGUUUGAUUUGUUAAAAGCAGUAAGUUAAUAUUCAGUUCAAAAUGUUACUUUUAUGUUUAAGCAGUAUCAACUGGAGAGAGAAAAGUUUAAGGAGAGAAAAAAAAAACAAUGAAUUAAAGAGGAACAAUAGAUAUUGAAUUAUACAUCUAGUUUCUGCCAGAAACGAUGGGCUCUGGGAUUCUAAUCAGAACAUUCAGAGAAAUACUCAGGUGCAAUAUCUGCAUUUUGAUUUUAUCCCUCUUUAAGGCAUACUGGUUUUGUGGAAUGAGUAUGAGUUGGAGUCAGAGACACUUGAGUUCAAACCCUACCUCUGCUUCUUAUUUUCUGGGUUGAUCCUUCAAAAUUUACCCAAUAACUUCAACUUUUUAAAAAAUCUAACAUGUGUUGUAAGGAUUAGGAAUUAGCCAAAUGAUAACUGGCAAAUAACGCCAAAUGUUAGUACUUAAAAAUGAAUUUCCUAUUGCUGCUGUAACAAAUGACCACAAAUUCAGUUGCUUAAAAUAACACACAUAUUAUCUUUCAGUUCUGAAGGUCAGAAGUCUGAAAUGGGUCUCACUGGGCUCAAAUCAAGGCAUCAGCAGGGCUGUGCUUCCUUCUGGGGGCUCUAAGGGAGAAUCCAUUUUCUUUCCUUUCUCAGCUUUGAGAAGCUGCCCACAUUCUUUGGCUCAUAACUCCUUUCUCCAUCUUCAAUGUUGGCAGAGUAGCACCUUCCAGCCACUCUCUGACUUUGACUUCCUCCUCUGUCUUCAUUUUAAAAAGAUCCUGAUGAUUACAUUGGGUACACGAUGAUAAUUGAGAAUCAUCUCUUUAUUUUAAAAUCAGCUAACUAGCAACCUUAAUUCCAUGUGCAACCUUAAUUCUCCUUUGCCAUGUAACAUAGCAUAUUCACAGGUUCUGGGAUUAUGAUGUGGACAUCUUUUUUUGGGAGAGAGGGAGCAUUAUUCUGUAUACUGUGGCAUUUUUCUCCCUUAACACUCAUGUAUUUAUUAAUAUAUUUAUUAAAGGAAAAUGAAUAAUAAAUAUUUUUAUCCUCAAGAAACUUAAUAUUUAGGUGGAGAGCUUAAAUAUAUGCAAAAGACAUUAACCAACAGUACAAGGCAGCAAGCAACAAGCUCCAAUAUGAGCCAUUCAAAUUUGUGUCACAGGCUGGACCUGGUGGCUCAUGCCUGUAAUCCCGGCACUUUGAGAGGCCAAGGUGGGAGGAUUGCUUGAGCCUAGGAGUUCAAGACCAGCCUACGCAACAUACUGAGACUUUGUCUCUACAACAAAAUUUAAAAAAUUAGCCAGGCAAGGUGGCACACAUCUGUAGUCUCCGUUACUUGGGAGGCAGAGGUGGAAGGAUCACUUGAGCUCAGGGGCUCGAGGCUACAGUGAGCUGUGAUUGUGCCAGUGCACUCCAAAACAAAAAGAAAAAAAAAACCAACAACAAAUUUUUGCUACAGGAUUUUAGAGAUCACUUAGUUGUGUGAGAGAGGGAAAAAAGAGUCACUAGAAAUUUUGAUUGUCUAAAAGCAGCAACGUAAUGAGAAUGCCCCCUUCCCUCUUCAAAACCUAAAUGUGAUUUUAGGUUGAGUUAGGAACAAAGGAGGUGAUAGACUCCCUCCAUUCUGCCUUGUUGAGUCCCCACCAAACUUUGAAGGGCAUAAAAAAUCUACAGUGUAGCAAGAGGAGGGCUACCAGCAGGAUAAAAAGUUUAGAAUCAGAACAUAUGAGAAGUUUAGAGAUAUUCAUGGCAUGCUCUUCAAAUACUUUAAUGAUAGUCAUAUGAAAAGAUAGCUAGCUUUGUCUUUGAAAACACCAGAGUUUGAAAAAACUAGGCCAGGUGCGGUGGCUCAACACCUGUAAUCCCGGCACUUUGGAAGGCUGAGGCAAAUGGAUCACUUGAGGUCAUGAGUUCGAGACCAACCUGGCCAACAUGGCAAAACCCCAUCUCUACCAAAAAUACAAAAAUUAGCCAGGUGUGGUGGUGUGUACCUGUAAUCCCAGCUACUUAGGAGGCUGAGGCAUGAGAAUCGCUUGAACCUGAGAGGCAGUGGUUGUAGUGAGCUGAGAUCGGCCACUGCACUGUAGCCUGGGCAAAAGAGUAAGACUCUUUCUCAAAAAACAACAACAACAAAACGGCAAGGCGUGGUGGUUCACGCCUAUAAUCCCAGCACUUUGGGAGGCCAAGGCAGGUGGAUCACCUGAGGUCGGGAGUUUGAGACCAGCCUGACCAACAUGGAGAAACCCCGUCUCUAAUAAAAAUACAAAAUUAGCCAGGCAUGAUGGCCCAUGCCUGUAAUCCCAGCUACUAGAGAGGUUGAGGCAGGAGAAUUGCUUGAACCUGAGAACCAGAGAUUGCGGUGAGCUGAGAUCGCACUGAUGCACUCCAGCCUGGGCAACAAGAGCGAAACUCCAUCUCAAAAAAAAAAAAGGAAAACAAAAAAGAAAAAGUUAGAAUUAAGUGUGUGGAAGUCAGAUUUAAACUCAAUACGAUAACUUUAAAGUGGUUACAGUUUUCUGAAAAUGAAUGAGUUACCCCUUGAGACAAUGAGUUUCCUGUUACUGGAGGUAUUCAAAUAGACUGUUGUUGUGGGAAGUCAGGGACCCCGAACGGAGGGACUGGCUGAAGCCGUGGCAGAAGGACAUAAAUUGUGAAGAUUUCGUGGACAUUUAGUAGUUCCCCAAAUUAAUACUUUUAUAAUUUCUUACUCCUGUCUUUACUGCAAUCUCUGAACAUAAAUUGUGAGGAUUUCAUGGACAUUUAUCACUUUCCUAAUCAAUAUUCUUGUGAUUUCCUAUGCCUGUCUUUACUUUAAUCUCUUAAUCCCGUCAUCGUAAGCUGAGGAUGUAUGUCACCUCAGGACCCUGUGAUGAUUGCAUUAACUGCACAGAUUGUUCGUAAAACAUGUGUGUUUAAACAAUAUGAAAUCUGGGCAACUUGAAAGAAGAACAGGAUAACAGUGAUGUUCAGGGAACAAGGGAGAUAACCAUUAGGUCUGGCUGCCUGAGAGCCGGGCGGAACAGAGCCAUAUUUCUCUUCUUUCAAAAGCAAAUAGGAGAAAUAUCGCUGAAUUGUUUUUCUCAGCAAGCAACGGCCCUGAGAAAGAGAAUGCAUUCUCAGGGGUAGGUCUCUAAAAUGGCCGCUCUGGGAAUGUCUGUCUUUACGAUUGCAGAUAAGGGAUGAAAUAAGCCCCGGUCUCCCGUAGCACUUCCAGGCCUAUUAGGAUGAUGAAAUUCCCGCCUAAUAAAUUUUGGUCAGACUGGUUGUCUGCUCUCAAACCCUGUCUCCUGAUAAGAUUUAUCAAUGACAACGCGUGCCCAGUGGUACAUGAAACUUCAUUAGCAUUUUUAAUUUCACCCUGGUCCUGUGAUCUCCCCCUGCCUCCAUUCGCCUUGUGAUAUUUUAUUGCCUUGUGAAGCAUGCGAUCGCUGUGACCCACACCCUAUCCAUAUACUCCCUCCCCUUUGAAAAUCACUAAUAAAAACUUGCUGAUUUUGUGGCUUGGGGGGCAUCACGGAACCUGCCGACAUGUGAUGUCUCCCCUGGACACCCAGCUUUAAAAUUUCUCUCUUUUGUACUCUUUCCCUUUAUUUCUCAGACCAGCUGACACUUAAGGAAAUAGAAAAGAACCUAUGUUGAAUUAUUGGGGGUGAUUCUGCCGAUAGAAUGUAGACAACAAAUGACAAAGAAUGUGCUCUCAAAGCACUUUGUUUGUGUCUUGAACUUUAUACUCACAUUAUCAUCAUUUGCAGGCCAGUCUCCCUAUAUAGAUGUGACCUCUUCCUAGGCUGAAUCUAUCAUAUAUGUUUUUAACUUGGCUUAGGAGGUAGCUAACAAAUGUUGGCUAGGUAAAUGGAUGAUGCAUGGGUGAGGUCGAGAGUUGGAGAGAGUGACCAUCAGAGUCCCUCCAACUCUGGGACUCUCAAUUCUCUGAGCUGGGAUCUGAGCUAGGUGUAGUGAAUUUAAUUGAGAUCCAGAAAGGGGGUGAGGGUGAUGGCGCAUUCUAGGUGGGAACCACAGUGCAGAAAGGCCAAGAGGAGAGCAAAUCUGAGUCAAGGAGCUAUGUUGGGUGAAGAGUGGGAAUUAAGAGUUGGGCAGAGUCUGGGUCUUGAUUCUUGAAGGUCUUUAAUUUCAAGGAUGUUGGACUUCCUCAUUCUGCAGUUGGGAUGCAGAUUGACACUUGACUGAAUUGUGAUCAAAGAAGAGAAAAUUGCCCUGACAAUGAUAUGCAUCAUAGCUGAUUGGCAAUAACUGGAAGUGACUGCCUAAACAUGGGUGUAAAGAGUUAAAAUGCAGAGCUAGACGAUGGCAGCAAGGAUGUAAAGGACGGAACAGAUAGGAAGAUAUGUUGCUAAAAAAUCAGGACUUGUUGGCGAGGUAAAUGAGAAAGGGUGAAAAGGGGGAAGGUAUCAAAGAGGCCCAAAGCUUUGUGCAUGGGUGGCCAUGAGGAUGGACAUGUAUGUCAAACUUUCUUAUUGAGAUGGAAGUAAUAUGGAAAAAUAUUCAAAAUAUCCAGGAUUUUUCCCAAACUGUUUCUAUUAAGUUCAUGGCUGAAGUGGGCUGUUUUGAAUAUGUAUGAGGAUAGAAAGUCAAGAGUAUUGCUGAGCGCAGUGGCUCACACCUGUAAUCCCAGCACUUUGGGAGGCCAAGGCGGGCAGAUCACAAGGUCAGGAGAUCAAGAUCAUCCUGGCUAACACGGUGAAACCCCGUCUCUACUAAAAAUACGAAAAUAUUAACCAGGCGUGGUGGUGGGUGCCUGUAAUCCCAGCUACUCGGGAGGCUGAGGCAGGAGAAUGGCGUGAACCCGGGAGGCAGAGCUUGCAGUGAGCUGAGAUCACGCCACUGCACUCCAGCCUGGGUGACAGAGCGAGACUCUGUCUCAAAAAAAAAAAGUCAAGAGCAUUAGCCUGUGAAGGGCAAACAUUUUUAAGAGGUGAGCUGUUACACUGGCAAAACCUGAUACCGAAUAGUAAUAGUUAUAGUAGCACCUUGUAUGAGCCCAUUAUGAGCCUGCAUGAUAUGAGACACUUUGUAUGUAUCAUCCCAUUUUGUGCAGUUACCCAUGAGCAUGAAGGCAUCAGCUAGUAGUCCACACAGUGUCUGCUUUAGGGCAGCUCCCAAGGGAAAUUCCCACCCAUCUUAGUACUAAGGAUAAUUAUAAGUCUCAGAAGUGAUUGGAUUCUUUUAAAAAUUCUUGGACUCUGAACUGAAUAAAUAAUUCUAUAUCUGUGUGUUUGAAGGGGUGGAGGAGGUAAAAAGAAUUAUUCAAAGUUUUAGAGCCAGAAUUGUGACUCAGUUAUGGAAUGUGUGCAAUAUAUUGUUUUUUAAACCUAUUUCCUGUUUCUGUUUCAUGUCCCCACCCUUGUUUUUCUGCCUCUCUUCUCACUUCUCAUUUAACUUACGCUGUCUUUUAUUUUAUAUAUCCCUAAAAGUAGUCAUAAAUUCAUUCUGGAAUAAAGGAGAGUAAUAGAAAUGUAUUUUUUAUUUAUAUUAGUCCUUGCUUUAUAGAUGAGGAACAGGGGCUUAAUUUAUCUAACUUGCCCAAGAUUACAGCGGGUGUAUUAUCUAUUGCUGGAUAACAAAUCACCACCAAAAUUAGCUUGAAACAACAAAUAUUUCUGAUCUCACUCUGUUUCUGAGGGUCAAGAAUCUGGGAGCAGCUUCCCUGGGUGGUUCUAGCUCAGGGUCUCAUGAGUUUGCAGUCAAGCCAUCAGCCAGGGCUGCAGAGUCACCUGAAGGCUUGGCUGAGGCUGAAGAAUAUGCUUCCAGCUCACUCACAUGGCUGAACAUUUUCAUUUCUUGCCACAUGGGCCUUUCUAUAGGGCUGCUCACAACAUGGCAGCUGGCUUUCCCCAGAGUGAGUAAUCAGAGAGACAGACAAUGAGAGAGAGAGACAAAGACGGAAGCUACAGCAUCUUUUACAACAAUCUUGGAAGUGACAUACAAUUACUUCUGUACCCUGGUAAAAUUUGAGAAAGCAUUCCACAGGGGUAUGAAUUCCAGCAGAAAUCACUGGAGGCCAUCUUGGAGGCUGCCAACCACAGUGAGUACAUGACAUAGCGGAACCUACAUGAUGCUGCUUUUGCAGAAGUGUUGGAUUAGAAGAGCCUCAAGUUUGGUUCUCAGAGCUGUUCCCAUUCCUUUCAUCUUGAAAAGUAGGGAAAUAAGCACCAGCAAGUGCUGAUGUUCUGGGUUUCUAGUUUUGUUCCUCUGACCCUGGUUACAAUUGCCAGUGCUGCCACAGUUUCAUCCAUAAAGUUUUGUGUAGCCUCACAUCUCCGUUUAAUCACUACUAAAAGUAAGUCCAAAUUUGAACCUCCAGUCAACACUAAACAACUGAAUGUUUGGAUACCACUAAGGAGUUAAAAUAAUAGCUAAUGGACCAGGUACAGUGGUUCAUGCCUGUAAUCCCAGCACUUUGGGGGGCCAAGGUAGGGAGAUGCCUUGAGUCCAGGAGUCUGAAACUUCAAUGAGCUAUGAUCAUACCACUGUACUCCAGCCUGGGUGACAGAGCAAGACUCUAUCUCUUAAAAAAAAUAAAAAAUAAAAAAUAACAUAACACUAUGUAUGCUUACAUUCUCUGAAUUUAGUAGUGUAUGAAAUGAUUGAUUAUAAUUUUAUUCCUUGUACUUUUUAUGUUCAUGGGAAAUGUAUGCAUAUAGAGGAUACAAGUUUUUGGUGAUUCCACCCCCCAUGAGGGGAAAUUGUCAAUGUAAUGAGAAAAUCCAUAAGGAUUUUUUACUGCAUUGCUGAACUGUAGCCAGAUUUUGUCAGGGAAAUAAGAACUUAUUGUUUUCCUAGUUUCAGGGAACUGCUGGCUCAGUGUUCAGUUUUCAUUCCACAAAUCCAUGACUCACGAAUAAAUGACCUGGAUAAAUGAACACUGAGGAUCUCAGUUGCAGCUGGCAAUUACCCUACCUUUUGAUGGCACUUAUUCUAUUCUGCAUCUGGAAAUUCCAUUUCCACUUGAAGUAUGUAUAAAUGGAUGUCACCCUUAAGGUUUAAACACAACCCCUAUUACUUAGCCAAGACUGUUCUGAACAAUGGUGUUUACUAAUUAGCUCAAUUUCAAUUUCAGUUUCAGUUCUUGAGCCAUUACUAUGUGCCUGUGGUAUUUUAAUGUUCUUAUAACUUUCUUUACAUCUUGGGGCUUCCCUUCAGGGCCUGUUGUGGUAUGCCAGUUUGCAAAAAAGGUGAUCAGUUUUGUCUAGGGAGAGAAACUUCUCUUUACAUUUGACUUAGUUAUAUGCAAACUAAUUGGAUAAACACUCUUUGAAUGUUUGUGUUCUAGGGUUUUUGCUGUGUUCUGCAAAUGGAGAAAAGCGUAAGACAUAGUCUUUAUGCCUUUAAAAAUUUGGCCGGGCAUGGUGCCUCACGCUUAUAAUCCCAGCACUUUGGGAGGCCAAGGUAGGCGGAUCACUUGAGGACAGGAGUUCAAGACCAGCCUGGCCAACAUGAUGAAACCCUGUCUCUACUAAAAAUACAAAACAAUUAGCCAGGCAUGGUGGUGGGUGCGUAUAAUCCCAGCUACUCAGGAGGCUGAGGGAGGAGAAUCGCUCUAACCAAGGAGACGGAAGGUGCAGUGAGCCAAGAUCAUGCCAUUGCAAUCCAGCCUGGGUAACAAGAGUGAAACUCUGUCUCAAAAAAAAAAAAGCAGGCUUUUUUUUUUUUUUUAUUUCUUGCAAAUUAAUUUCCCCUUAACUCAGAUGUGGUGAAGCCACUGACAAGCAAAUUGCAGGAACUCCUUUAUAUAGGAGUGUGUCUCUUCCAACUCCAGCUUAAAUGUAAUCGUUUAUAACACGGCUCCUAACUUUUUGGAUUUCAAAGACCCGCCUUGGCCUCCCAAAGUGCUGGGAUUACAGGCGUGAGCCACCACACCUAGCCUAUGCUUGCUUUUUAAAACUGGUUUUCGAUGCUUUUCUUGUAUGUGUCUGGGGGAGUGGGGGCCAAGGUGAGUAGUAGGAAAGAAAACUUGUACCCACAGUGGUAGAGAAUGUGAACUGUAGUUGUGGAAAGCAGCUGUUGCCUACAUGGAAAUGAAACUGGUUUGGGAAGGAUUCCCUCCGCAUAAAAUCUUAAACAGUUUAGGUAAAAUUAGGCCUGAUGAAUGUAAACCUUCUACUUAUUUCUAGGUGUUAGGCUAAAAAAUAAAAAGGACCUUUGUAUAUAUGGGUCUUUUUUCCCCUCUGAUAUUUUGCAAGGGAAGGAGAGAAGGGACAAGCCAUUGGAUUCGUGUGUCUAAGCAAGUCAGCAGUAAUAGAAUAUUUAACUUGGCCAUGAUGAAGGCUGACUGCCCAGUGUUCUUCAUUCAAUGCACCUACAAUAGCAGAGCUUUUCAUGGAUUUGCACAUAAAUGCCUCUCUGGAAUUGAACUAUAUCCAUACUUUUCUGGAAUGUGUCAUCUUUGAAGUGCGAUUCAAGGAGAACCACAAAGAUGAUAAAAGGACUAAAUAAUCAAAAAAUUCUUAUGAAGAGUAUAGGGAUUCCUCUAUCUGAACUCUGAGGCAGUAAUCUAACAGGAGUUUAUCUGUCCUGGGUUUCUCCCAACAUAAGCAUUUUAAGAAAUGAUCAAAGAUUUCCUUGAAAACUUGCCAGACAACAAUAGUAAAUAACAGGCUUCUGUCUCUACCAUGCGCUUGGACACAUUUCUCAUGUGUGUGGUGAAGCAAGGGCUCUGAGGUCAGACCCGCUCCAUCAAAUACUUGCUCCACCCCUUGCUACUGUCAAGUCACAGCCUUGCUAAGCCUCAGUUUCCUGCUCUCUAUAAUGGGAAUAAUGGUUCUUAUUUCACAGGGCUCUUGUAAACAGAAGUAUUAUACAUGCACUAGCACUAGCACAUGAUACUACUUUUUAUAUUUUAAGUGAUAUUAUUGCUAUUUCUUCUGGAAGGAGUGCUUCUCUCCUGACCCCUCUGUCCUCUACUGUUCACUGGCUACCUACCAUCUCUAAGUCUGGAGGGUCCUGAUUCAUAUGCACUGGUUGGUUCUUUCAGGUUCCUUGAAACAAAAGGCAUCUACACAUGAACGAUAAAUAUGCUAAUCGUCAAAAGGCAGAUAAUUUAUUUUGUUUAACUGUCACAUAUUUAAGCAAAUUAAAAUUUGAUAUUGGACUAUUUCUAGACAAAGUCAUGCUGAGAAAUAAUAUGAAGUUUUAAACAAAUUACACAUUCUAUCAACGAUGCUCAGGGUGCCCUCUCCUCAUGACCUUUAGCAACUCAGCAAUGAAAAUAUUGGAAGGAGGUGAGCUCACCAGUGAGGAUGGGUGAGUCCUUCCUGGUUCCAGCUUUGCAAAGAAAAGAAGAUACAUGGCCUCUAGGAGAGCAAUCCUAACCUGAUCUGGCACACAGGGCUGUGCCUUGAAGCCUGUCUUGCCUGAAAUGACUAGCUGAGCUGUUGGAGGUUGAGAGAGAGAAACUGAAAAGGGCUCCUUUAUUCCCCUUUACACACUCCCCAGAAACAAAUUUUGUAAUUAAGUUAAAAGGGAGUGGAGGAGACAGAAGGUUACAUCUCUUGCUUAGAAAGUCUAGGGAAAGGUUGAGUUGACCUAACUUUGAAGAGCACUACUUUUAGUCACUAAUUCAUCCAGCCAAUAAUUAUUUGACACCCAAUGUGUGCCAGACAGUGUUCUUGACACUGGAGAUAAAACAGGACAAAGAUCCCGUUCUCAUGGAACUUGCAACCUAGUGGGGAAAAUGAUACAAAAAGAAUUCCACAGGAAUCCCACAGCAGAUGCAGCCCCACAGUGGCAUAGGAAUGCUCUGAGGGUGGGCUUGGUGCGUUUUCGACUCUGAGCACUGUGUUUGAGACUCACUCAGAAACAGGUGUGUGUUUUUAAUGUUGUUACACUGAUUACCAAAGCAGUAACUUCCAUUUAAAGCAGAGAGUAUUUUCGACCUCUCAAAAAUGAUUGACAUGGCUUUGGAGAUCUAUUUUUGUUCUGCAUUCUCAAGUUCACAUCCUUUGUGGUAGCCAGCAAGGAAAAGAUCACCCUGCUGCUAGUGUCACAGAAUAAGCUCUAUGUUAUCCGUGAUACUUCGGCCUUGACAUGCUGAGAAGCAAAACUUUGAUUUACAUAAUGUCAUUUUAUGGUUUAAGCCUUGGGGUUACCUAUCUAACAUUUUGCUCUUUGAUGUACUUACCUUUUUAUACACAUAACUUACCUUUAAAGAUACACUUUACCUUUUAUGCCGUCUUAAGCUUCCACACAAAUUUUAAUAGGGGUCAGAAAGCUUAGAUGAGGCCAAAACCUGGAUAAUAUUAUACAUGUACUGAUAAAGACAUGAGAAUGACCUUCAGAUGUCUGUAGGCUGGUGGUUUAUAAAAGAGGAAAGUUAGUUUUAACCUUAACCCAACCUCCACCCCUGGUAAAACACACACACACACACACACGGUAAAAGGACAUGUUAGGGGUUGCGUUUCAGCUAUGGAGAGAUAUCUAAUAUCAAGUCAAUAUUGUUUUUAACCCUGGAUGUACUGUAUUAAAUGAGUAAGAACAAGUCUUCUCUCAAAUAUCCCACACAGAUUAUUGAUUAAUUACAACAAGGAAAAAGAUACUUUUACAAUGGGAAUAUCUGACAGGUCCCACCAUAACCAAUGAAUCCAACAUCGUUAAUAAGGGUGAUGAUUGACUGACACCCUGUUCUUCCCAGUGAGAUGCAAUCGCCUAGGUAAUCAGCAUCACCUAGGUAAAAUUCUUACCAAAGAAUAUCUAAUCUGAAUCUAAUUAUGAGGAAACAAGCAGACAAAUUCAGAUUGUGGGACAUCACGUAGGGCAAAUGUCUUGGACCCUUCAAAAAUGUCAAUAUUGUAAAAGACAAAAAGAAUAGAUAAAUAAACAUAAGGUGGGAGAAUGCUCCACAUUAAAAGAGACUAAAGAGGCAUGAUGGCUGGGUGGUUUGGGUGGCGGGUCUAAAAAUGAAGGAAAGGAAAGCAGAGGGGAAGAAAUGGAAGAAAGGAAGAAAAUAUCUACAAAGGAUAUUUAGGGGACAAUUGGAGAAAUGUGAAUAUGGUCAUUUUAUUAGAUAAUGAUUUUGAAUUGGUAUUAAAUUUUCUGAAUCUGAUUGUUAUGAGAGUGUCUUUGUCCUUAGGAGAUGCAUGCUGAAAUAUUUUAGAUAUGAAAUGUCAUGAGAUCUGCAACUUUCAAAUGGUUCCAGAAAAAAGUAAAUACACAUGGGAGAAAGUAAAAGGGAAACAGACGUGGCACAAUGUGAAUCAGUGAAUCAGGGUGAAGGGAGUGUGUUCAUUGACUUAUUCUCUCAAUUUAUCUUAGGUUUUAAAUUUUUCCAAAUAAAAAGUUGUAUGCAGCAGGGGUCAGAAGACAAGAAAAGUCUAUUUGAAGGAAAUUAUUUUAGAAAUCCAGAACAAAAAUAAAAGAUGGAGAAAACUUACACAGACAACACAGACAACUGAUGCAUGAAGCCUCAGAGGAAGAAAGCCCUGGACAAAGGACAGAGCUCUGGAAUGGGGAUGGCAGGGCCUACACGCGCCCGUCUCCUCUGUCAUCACAGGCUGUGUGAUCGUGGACAUUUGCCUAAGCUCUCUGUCUUCAUUUCUUAGGGCUGCCAUCACCAAAACAACAGGUAUUUAUUAGGCCGGGAGCAGUGGCUCAUGCCUGUAAUCCCAGCACUUUGGGAAGCUGAGGUGGGUGGAUAACCUGAGGUCAGGAGCUCCAGACCAGCCUGACCAACAUGGAGAAACACUGUCUCUACUAAAAAUAAAAAUAAUAAAAAUAAAAAAAAAAUUAGCCAGGCGUGGUGGCGCAUGCUUGUAGUCCCAGCUACUCAGGAGACUGAGGCAGGAGAAUCACUUGAACCCGGGAGGCAGAGGUUGCAGUGAGCCGAGAUCGUGCCAUUGCACUCCAGCCUGAGCAACAAGAGCGGAACUUCGUCUCAAGGAAAAAACAACAACAACAACAAAAACAAUAGGUAUUUAUUGUCUCACAGUUCUGUUGGCCAAAAGCCCAACAUGAAGGUGUCCGAUGGCCCUUCCCUCUCUGAAACCUGUAGCACAAGAUCCUUCCUUGCCUCUUCCUAGCUGCUGGUAGUUUUCCCGCAAUUCUUGGCACACCCUGAACCGCAACUGCAAUAUUCAGCCUCUUUUUCUGUCCUUACCUGGAGUUCUUCCCUCAUGCAUUUCUGUUCCAGUGUAUCUUCUCCUCUUUUAAGGACACCAGUCACAUUAGUGCCCACCCUAAUGACCUCAUCUUAACCUUGAUUACCUCUGCAAAGACCCUAUUUCCAAAGAAAGUCACAUUCAUGGAUACUAGGCGUUAGGACUUUAACAUACGCUUUUGGAGGGCACAAUUCAACCCAUUCCACUCUACACCAAUUUCUCCAACUCCCAGACCGGCAUGGGGAAUCCAGUAGACGUGGUGAACUGAAAUGAACCCUGAGGUCCCUUCAGCUGUGAGUCUGAGGUUCUGUGUAUCCACCUGUUCUAAGUCCAUACCUCUGUUAACCUUGGGCUACUAAGGAGCCCAAGAGAGACUUGAUGAGGAGGAGGUUCCAGGUUAUUAUAGAACAGAUAAGCAAUGUGGCCUUUGGAAAGCAUGAUUCAUGUUCAGUUCUUGGCAUAGCAGGCUGUUCUAUUUUGCUUGUCACAGUCAUCCUUUUUGUCCUCAUUUUUAUUUGUCUGAAUGAUCGUUGGUCAAAAUGUUUUCUAAGCUAAAUUGCCAUCCUGUUAUCCCAUAAAAUUACAUAAAAUGGGAUGUUAGUGUUUUAAAAAAAUAAUUGUUACAUCACAGAUGAUUUCAAAUGUUGGACAGGCUGCCAGCUGGAGCAGAUUAACAAGGAAAAUCGAGACUCCUCUCUCUUUCUUUGUCCUUCAGGCUAAAAAAAGGCAAGAUAAGAAGAGAGGACAUUCUGUAAUGAAUAAGGGUGGCUGCACCUUCAAACUUUCCCGGGCCCCUCCUGCUGGGUCAGCUCUCAGUAUCUGGAGGAGGAUACCCUUUGAGGUCCUCGGGGGACUUGCAAGCAGAGCAGGGGGUAUGGGGAGAGCAUAAAUGGAGAUGAGACUCUGUUCACACUCUUUCCUGAUAUCCCUGUGUUUUCAAAGAGAAAACUGUGUCAAAACCAGGGAAGGGGAGGGGGGAGGUGAAAAAGGACAUUUUCCAAGAACUCCAGGCCUACAGUCCUUAGUGCAACAGUACCUGUUGUUUACAAAGAUUCAUCUGCCUCUGUCCUGCAUUUCCCUCCGUGGACACCAGGGCACUGUCUGAUCAUCUGGUCUUCUCAGUCCCCGGCAAAGUUCACGGACCCUGACACACCCUGCAGCUGUCUCCUGAAGGAGUCAGAGUGGACCACUGAAUCCCAGCUGCUCUUCUUUCAAACGAUGUGACCUUGGGAAAGUUACAUAACCUGUCUGUGGCUUUGUUUUCUUCCUUAUAAAUUGGGGUAAUAACACCUACGUGUAAAGGUUAUUCAGGUAAUGUAUGUUUAAAAGAAAAAAAAUGUAAAAGGAGGAAGUGAAAAUGAGGCAGAGUUUGUGUCCUGUGAAAGGUAAGGAACCAGUCACAACAUACUGAUAAUAUUAAUAGCUAGAACUCUCUCUGUAGCUGCCCCUGCCGAGUGUUUUAUACCAUUAUCUCAUUCACUUCUCCCAACUCUUUGAGGAAGAGACUGUUGUACCCAUCAUAUCAUCAUACAAAUUGCUAUACCCAUCAUACACAUAAGAAAACUGAGACUCAGGAAGUGAAGUACUGGUCCGAGUGGCAGAGCUGGAAUUCAAAGCAAGCCUUAGAGGCUAAGCACUGGCAUUUCUGUACCCAUCUUGGGGGAGAGCUGGUAGCUGGCUCCAGGGAAGCAUCCAGCGGAAGACCUGGUCUUGGCUGUCCUCGUUUGACACCUACUCUUAGUAACCCAGAAGAGUGCAGGCACAGUGGGUAUUGCAAAGGCCGGAGAAGGAAACCAACACAGACAUCCGAAAAAGCUGGUGCAGAGCAGGAGAGAGGAAAUGGGAUUCAGUUUGGGGAAGUACAGACCAAGCUAGCCACACAGAGCUAAUCCACAGCAAGGAUAGAGAGGUCAGGAGAGAAAAAAAAAGAGGAGAGCUGGGAGCUGAAAGCAGCGAGGUGGGGUGGCUGGCUGUAACUGAGAUGCUGCUCUGUAAAGUGAUGAGGCCGGGGAGGCCACAUCUGCUCUGGGCAGCACUCGCAGAGCUGUUGCAGCACAGAGAGGUCUUGCUCUCCUCUUCACGUGCACAGUGGGGAGGCCGCAUUCGAGGCUCAGUGCGUGUGCGUGCGUGCGACACACACACAUGCUUUGAUACUGAGCCCCAUGAAACCCCCAUGAGUCUUUUUUUUUUUAACUUUCCUCCUUUCUAAGUUUGACCUAUAUAUUUCCAGAUGCCUCUAAGGGAAAUUAUGGGGCUAUUGCAUUUAUCGAAUAUGGAGUAUAGAUCAGAGUGGAUGUGGAGGCAGCAAGGAAGGAACUGAAAAAAGCAGCACUCAGCCAUGCUGAUGAGCUAGUCCCAAGUUCCAGAUCUCUCUUUAGCCUGAAGCUCCGUUCCUUCCUGUCCAUCUAGAAGGCAAUGUUGCCUAAAGGCAAGAGCCUGGAUUUAUGUACGGCUCCUGCUUUUACUGCCUAUGUGAACUUAAUUAUUCUACCUUAUCUGGUUCAAUGUCCUCAACUUUGAAGUGAGAACAGUAGUAAUACCUACCUCCUAGGGCUUCUGAGAAGAUGAAAGACCAAAGUGCCGCUCCUAUGCAAAACCUAUCCUUGGGAAGUGGAGAUCAUUAUUGCCUUUAAAUCUGUCCAAGGGUUUAAUAGGAGUGCAUUCACAAUUUGUCUGUAGGCCUUUUAUUCAGAUGCCUUUAGAUUUUGCUAAAUCAGACAUUGUACAGAUUGACAGAUUGAAAUCCAUAGUGAAAAAAAAAGCUAGUUUGAGGGCUUUCUUCUGGAGCUGAAAUAAAGCAAUCCUAACCUUUGGGAAGCUGGUUAAAUGGGUUCAGAGUAGAGCAUUUCUAUGUACCUCUGGGGCAUUUCAGGCCUGGCAGCAUCAGGAGGGUUCUCACAUGUGGCAUGGGCAGCAAAGCUAUGUGGGGAUUCUGUCUUUCCCAAACCUCACUGCCUUCCAUGUCUCCUAAGACUUGGUAGGAUAUUCAAAUACGACACACCUGUCUCUCCCAGCACACAGAUUAUAGCUGUAGGUCUUCCCAUGACAAGGUGUGGGGGAAAUCAAGUGAGGGAUUCUGGGAGUUUUAUCUUUCCCUUGAUUUGGGGGGCAUAAUGCCUGCUGGGAAUAGAAGGACGGAUUUGGACACUUCAGCUGGCUGAUUCCUGGGAGGGGAAAAGGACAUCUCUGGCCUUCUAGCCAGAAGGGGCCUCUGGAUCACCCAGUCCAGCUUCUAGAAGGCUCGAGGACUAGCAUUGUGUGUUUGUGGUCCCUUGUCAGAGUAAGUGAUAGGAGAGCCUACUCAACACCCCAAGACUCCUCAGCGAGUGCACUCCCACUUCAUCAUCCUGAGUGAACACGAUGCCUCCAGGAAUGUGGGAGACAGAAGCCACAGCGGAUUCUUUUUUCAAACCCAAGCAAGGAAAAUCAGAGAGAAGCAAGUCAAAUGCCAUUAUCUUCUCUCUGCAGAACUGACUAAGCAAAAUUAUGAAUAGGCCAAGAAUGACUUUUCUACUGAUUGAUGAACUUGAAUCUGUUCUUCUAGGAUUUGAUUAUUCAAUUAAUAAAAUAUUUACAUGCUCUGUUUUUUUCUUUACAAUAAACAGAUAUGUUUCUCCU